AGUGAACGCUGGCGGUAGGCCUAACACAUGCAAGACGAACGGCAGCACAGUAAGAGCUUGCUCUUACGGGUGGCGAGUGGCGGACGGGUGAGGAAUACAUCGGAAUCUACUUUUUCGUGGGGGAUAACGUAGGGAAACUUACGCUAAUACCGCAUACGACCUACGGGUGAAAGCAGGGGAUCUUCGGACCUUGCGCGAUUGAAUGAGCCGAUGUCGGAUUAGCUAGUUGGCGGGGUAAAGGCCCACCAAGGCGACGAUCCGUAGCUGGUCUGAGAGGAUGAUCAGCCACACUGGAACUGAGACACGGUCCAGACUCCUACGGGAGGCAGCAGUGGGGAAUAUUGGACAAUGGGCGCAAGCCUGAUCCAGCCAUACCGCGUGGGUGAAGAAGGCCUUCGGGUUGUAAAGCCCUUUUGUCGGGAAAGAAAAGCAGCAGGUUAAUACCCCGCUGUUCUGACGGUACCCAAAGAAUAAGCACCGGCUAACUUCGUG
rnacentral:rRNA from 1 species